AAUUAUGGUCACGUGAUCUCGAAUUUAAUGGCGACCAUAGAAGAACCUAAUAAAAUAUAGAGCAUUGAAAAAUAGAAGCAAAAAAGCAGAACUGUUCUGGCAAUCGACAGGAUUUUCUACUGACAUGGUAAAGAGCGAGAAUUGAACAGAGGCGAUGUCUUCCAAUAACUACCCAUAUAUUGUCAACCGGAAGCUGUUGUACAAGGAAAGUGUGGACUCUGGAUUCCAUGAGCCUAUAGAUCCACUGGGGCCAAGUGAUAGUCGGAUGGACAUCAAUAGUCAUUUUACACCAAUACGCAAAGCAGGUAUG